rnacentral:piRNA from 1 species
UCUUCCAUGAUCUGUUCUUGUUGUAUCUCU